CUUGGCACUGGCGGAAUUAUCACCAGUGACGCAAGAAUCGUGAUGUUCCCCUGGUGCCUCAUC
rnacentral:pre_miRNA from 1 species